AGGCUGCAGUGAGGAAUAUUGGUCAAUGGGCGCAAGCCUGAACCAGCCAUGCCGCGUGCAGGAUGACGGUCCUAUGGAUUGUAAACUGCUUUUGUACAGGAAGAAACACUCCCUCGUGAGGGAGCUUGACGGUACUGUAAGAAUAAGGAUCGGCUAACUCCGUGCCAGCAGCCGCGGUAAUACGGAGGAUCCAAGCGUUAUCCGGAAUCAUUGGGUUUAAAGGGUCCGUAGGCGGUUUUAUAAGUCAGUGGUGAAAUCUGGUCGCUCAACGAUCAAACGGCCAUUGAUACUGUAAGACUUGAAUUACUUGGAAGUAACUAGAAUAUGUAGUGUAGCGGUGAAAUGCUUAGAGAUUACAUGGAAUACCAAUUGCGAAGGCAGGUUACUACAAGUGGAUUGACGCUGAUGGACGAAAGCGUGGGGAGCGAACAGGAUUAGAUACCCCGGUAGUC
rnacentral:rRNA from 1 species